UACGUAGGGGGCAAGCGUUGUCCGGAUUUAUUGGGCGUAAAGAGCGUGUAGGCGGUUUGGUAGGUCCGCUGUGAAAACUCGAGGCUCAACCUCGAGACGCCGGUGGAAACCAUCAGACUAGAGUCCGGAAGAGGAGAGUGGAAUUCCUGGUGUAGCGGUGAAAUGCGCAGAUAUCGGGAGGAACACCAGUGGCGAAGGCGAUCACCUGGGGUUGUUCUGACGCUGAGGAGCGAAAGCUAGGGGAGCAAACGGG
rnacentral:rRNA from 1 species